GAGUGUGGCACCACUGGCUCCAUGCCUAACUUGAUUGGAUUUGACGUGAGGAGCGUAGCGACCCUGAGUGAUGUGGAGUCGGAGGAGUUGGAACACUAUCUGGCGCAGUUUGACUCUUUGCUGACAUGCCAAGGCUACUCGUCCCAGCUCUCGAGCUCGACCGCCACGUCACACACCCCGAGAAACAACCGAUGACUCACUCGGCUGCCAGUCGCAGAGGAGAGUCCAAAUUCUCCCGGCAGCGGAUGUUGGUCGAUCUCUAUCAUUUCUAUACUUUUUACAUGCGAUUCGGAAAACUUUGUCUUACGUGUGUCCAGCUGUGCGCGAAAAAUGUUCGUCAGAAUUGGCUGCGCAGGCGUUUGUCGUGGAGCUUUAGUCUUACGUCUCAUCCUAUGGUUCAAUGUUCGGCGUUAUACAUCGCACGGAUCGCAAAAGUUCAAUGAAUAACAUUACGUAAUCUACGUCAGCGUACUACUAAAUGGACUAAAUGGUCGGCUUUUGAAAACAAGACCGCAGCUUAUAAACACUUACCAGAGCUGUGUUGGAAAUUUUUCACGAGCGUGCAAUACAAAGGAGACAUAACGCCAGGCCAGUGGAGCUGAUA